UACGGAGGGGGCAAGCGUUGUUCGGAAUUACUGGGCGUAAAGGGUUCGUAGGUGGCCAACUAAGUCAGACGUGAAAUCCCUCAGCUUAACUGGGGAACUGCGUCUGAGACUGGAUGGCUCGAGUGCAGGAGAGGAACGCGGAAUUCCAGGUGUAGCGGUGAAAUGCGUAGAUAUCUGGAGGAACACCGGUGGCGAAGGCGGCGUUCUGGACUGCAACUGACACUGAGGAACGAAAGCCAGGGGAGCAAACGGG
rnacentral:rRNA from 1 species